rnacentral:rRNA from 1 species
UACAGAGGGUGCGAGCGUUAAUCGGAAUUACUGGGCGUAAAGCGCACGUAGGCGGCUUGGUAUGUCGGGUGUGAAAUCCCCGGGCUCAACCUGGGAACUGCAUCCGAAACUGCCUUGCUAGAGUAUGGGAGAGGGAAGUGGAAUUUCCGGUGUAGCGGUGAAAUGCGUAGAUAUCGGAAGGAACAUCAGUGGCGAAGGCGACUUCCUGGACCAAUACUGACGCUCAGGUGCGAAAGCGUGGGGAGCAAGCAGG